CGAAAAACCCUCGAAGUCCCCACUGAUUCUUCUUCUUCCUCGUCUUCUUUAUCACCUCCUCUGAGACCGCGGCCCCUCAAGGUCUCACCUUUUCGAUUCCGAAUCCCGCAUUCCGCUUUAUCUCGGCAAUGAGUUCCUCGCAAACCUUCAGAUCCAGGACACCCAGAAGCCGGGAAAAGAAAGCCCUAAACCCAAAUCCCUCGAAAGUCCCAGGCAACGAGACACUGAGCACCCAGACCCCUCAGAAGUCCGAAGCACUCACCCGCCGUGCCCGAAACGCCAACUUCGUGCUCUCCAUAGGAGACAUCAGAAAGGCCGCCGCCAAGACCGUCGGCGAAUUGACCCAGAAGCGACGGACCGACCAGAUCGAUCCAUGGGGAGAGGAAACCUUGAAGAAGACUUGUGUCAGUUUCCCAGAGAAGCUACCCGAGAUGAGGUUUACAUAUGGUCACUUGGCUCAGCUGAAGUUUGUUAUGCCUGAGGUGAUUGAAAUAAAGAAAGUGCUUAUUAAGGAUGAGAGAACCAGUUGUCUGAAGCCGGAUCUUCAUGUCACCAUCAAUGCUGAUGCAUGGAGAGCGAUGGAAAGUCAAAAUCGGAAGGUGGUGCGAGUAUGCAUUUGAGGAAGUUAUUUCAUAAGUGGCUUGCUGAUCUUUCCAAAAUCCCAUCCUGAGUUUAACAUUCUAUCUCCCCCAGCCAUUUGGUCCUACGAAGCAAGAUAUGCGAUCAGAUACGGACAACCUUCCCUUGUCAUCAUCUCAGGGUGAUGAAAUUUCAGAUACGGUCAAGCUUCCCUUGUCAUCAUCUCAGGCAUCUUUCCUGUUACUGUAUAUGGAGCUUUCCUACCCCCGGACAUAUAUUCUAUCGACUCCAUGCUUUGUUGCAUGUAUACGGUGCCUUUUUGGUGCUCCCUGCAUGCUGGUCAUGUGGCCAUCGUUUGAUGUAAUACUAGCAGAUCAGGUUUCUGUUGUCAUCCCACUGCUGGAGCUUAAGAAGGCAACAAAGGUAUUCACACCCAUUUCGUACGAAGUGUUAUCUGUUAGCAUCUGGUAGUAUAGUUGUAUGAUGCAUUACAUCUUUCUGUCCAUGUUUUGUUUUACUGUCAUUUUCCGGAUUUAUUGUUGGCUCAACACACGACUCUUUUGGUAUGGAUGGGUGGGGUUGCAGAGGGAGUGAGGGACUCUCAACAGAGGUCAGCUCCAUGCAACAUCAGCAGCUACCUUUUCCACUGGAACCAAUUCUUCCCUUGGCCACAAAGCGGCGUGGUUUCAACAGUCAAAGCCUUGUGCUUUGAGGUUCAACUCCCAAAACCCUCUCAAGAGCUCUUCCAAUGAGCUCAAGGCUACCACAUCUUUCAAUUGUGAAUUAGGAACGAUUCAAUGCCUGAUAAAAUAAUUUUGGGUCAUUGCCGGAACAAAUUGGUUACUUUGACAUUUUGAGUGAUUGAGUCGCGUUAGAUUGUUGAGGAAUUCAUCAAAAAGGCUUCCAGAUGCAGCUGCUUUCUUACUCCAAGAGGAUUCGAGCAUUAAUUUUGUCAGUAAUGGUGAGACUACUGGUUUUCCAGUCACCCCACAUAAAUGAGCAGCUGAGUUAUGCUUCUCCAAGCAAGAAAAGGCUGGAUGCUAUUAGUGGUUCUGCCAAAGAAUCAAAACGCCAAAGAAUCAAAACAAAUUGUUUUUAUUAUGGAUGCUCACACUUUCGAGCUGUAUACCAGCUCAUUGAACAAGAUGACAUCUAGCAGACCAAAGAAGCUCUCUCGGUGCAGCCUACACACUCCUCAAUCAAAUUUUGACGAGGAGGAUCCAGUGAACAAUGGAAUUGGUGAUGAUCCAAAGAGAAACUGGUUUAAUCCUGCUAAACACUGUAUGUUGAUGAUUGCUUCAGUCAAAAUUCAAUAUUUUCGGUAGACUAGAGAUGGUUGUUAGAAAAUGCAUGACUGUUCUCUAAACUAAAAUACACUUCUCAGAUUGCUGUGGUUAUUGGUUUGGAUUUUCCUUAUUUGCCUUGGUGCCUUUAAAUUUUCAGGUGAAAUUUUUUACACAACUUCAUUACUUGCAAAAUUUUGUUGAAUCAACAUUCAAUACCCUUCCUUGGAAUCAAGUUAAAGAAUUUUGGGUCAUUGGCGGAACAAAUUGGUUACUUGACAUUUGAGGUAUAUAAUUUGCUUUACUUUGUUUCAGUUUGUUCAGUUAGAUAAAGAGUGGAUAUGUGUUUGCUAUAUGUGAAGUACCUUUUGUAUGUACAUAUCAAAUCUUUUUUUUCAUUGGUUACUUUAUUUUAGAUACAUUUUCUUUUCUGUUCUAAAUUAUUGUGUUCAAGGCUGACUUUGUUAUAUUAACUCUGAAAUUCGAACACAAGUUUCUAAAAUAUAAUGUUCUUUGGAACUUUCCAUAUUUCUGAGUAUGCACUGCAUUGAUUAUGGUUUUUUAAAUUCAAGGCCACGAUGUUUGCAUGCCCGCAAUUCAACGAUUUAAAUUAGUGUUCUAAUCACAUUAGUUACUUUGUCAAAAGAAAAGAAAAAAGAGCAUCUCUUUCAUCAAUCAUACUUGAUAUGCAUACAAGUGUACAUACAGUUCUCAGUUUUCUGUUUUCUCCUUUAUUCUUUUAAUUUUUUUGUGUGUGUAUUUAUCUAUGCAUACGCACAGAUCUCAGAUAAAGCAAAGUUCUAUAUGUUUUUUAAUUCUAAUAAACUGAUUAGACGAAUAAACGUUCAACUUGGCUAAGCCUGUUGAUAUUAUCGUAUUAGGGGGAAUCAUAUGGUUGGAAAUAUUGUGUAUAUUUUUAUGCAUAGGCUUGAUAAAAAUAAAUCCUGCACUUUUUGCUGCAUUCAAUUUUUCGUUUUUUGAUUUGGUGAAUUGUUGCAUUGUUUUCCAAUGAAGAGAAUUCGACAUUAAUAAUGUCAGUAAUGGUGACUACUGGUUUUCCAGUCACCCCAUGUAAUGAACAGCUGAGUUAUGCUUCUCCAAGCCAGAAAAGGCUUGUCUCCAUUGAUGAAAGAGGCGAUGAAAAUAGCAUGAUUUAGUGAUUUAACCCCAUGUAAUGAACAGCUGAACACAAUGAUGAAACUUUUCAGGUGAAAUUUUUUACGCAACUUCAUUACUUGCAAAAUUGUGUUGAGUAACAUUCACUGCCAUUCCUUCGAAUCAAGUUAAAGGUAGGAUCACUAAAUCAUGCUAUUUUCAUCGCCUCUUUAUUCCCUUGCUGAACACAAUGGAGAGAAUUGUCUUCAUUUGCAUUCUUGCAUUUGAACUUGCAAGUCAGUUUAUGCUAAAUUCAUAAUAUUUAUUUUUUGUUGUCUUCAAUUCUACUGAGUUGCACCUUAUUGUCUAUUUUUAGAUUUCAUUUAGACUCAUAAACUAAGGCAUUAUGUAUGGCAUUAUGUGUGUCCAAGAAUGAAUGGACGAAUUUAAGCAACAAUGUCGGUGGUCGCCUUUGUUAAUAGAGUGAAAUGUAAGAAUGAUCAAUUAGCUAUCAGAAAAUAAUGUGGUCUAUGUAUGUAAAUAGGACAAUGUGGUCUAUGUAUAUAUUAUGUACUUACACAUCAAGUGUGUAAGUAGUACCGUAUGUACUGUUUUCAAUCCCGCAGCAUUGGGCGGACAUUUUUUGCUAGUAAUAUCUAUAUAACACCUUCAAGGUUUUUCUGAAUUUCUUUUGGUUUUUUGGUCGCAAGGUUUUUCUGUAUUUCAGUUGCUUUUUAUUAUAUGCAUGUGUUUGUGGUUCCUGAUUUUUGAAUUUCUACGGGAUUUUGCACAUUUGUCCAUUCACUUAGCUAAUCGGCUAAUUUUGUCAAGUGUGAAAAUGUUUGCAAAUUUGUCCAUUUGAAUUUCUAAUUAAUUAAUCUGAUUAAUUGUUACUUGAAGAUUUUGCAAGUGUUUUGGUAAAGACAUGAUCAACUCGGUUCACUUGCUGCUGCUGCUUGCUUUAUUUGAAAAUUACUCAUUAGAGCAUCUGCUGCACUCUUCUAGAUCAUCUUUUCUUUUUCAAUUACGUGUCGUGUUUGUCGUAUUUUCGUUUGACACAUUUCCAUGCCUCAACCCACACGCUGGGGCUGGACUUUGUUCGGUAUGCAAAUGGAUGGGGCCAGGGGAAGACUAGACCGCGUCAAUCAACAUUGGCACCACACAGCUCUUGAUUGAGUUGAAAGAUCCUUUCCGAAAUUCCAAACUUAAAGAAAGGAUUAGAAACUGUGUACCUCCGAAAUUUCACCUGGUUUAGAAACUGAUUAGACGAAUAAACGUUCAACAAGGCUAAGUCUGUUGAUAUUAUCGUAUUAGUGGGAAUGAUAUGGAUGGAAAUAUUGUGUAUAUUCUUAUGCAUAGGCUUGAUAAAAAUAAAGCCGGCACUUUUUGCUGCGAUCAA